rnacentral:rRNA from 1 species
UACGUAGGGUGCAAGCGUUGUCCGGAUUUAUUGGGUUUAAAGGGUGCGCAGGCGGCUGAUUAAGUUAGUGGUGAAAGCGUCCUGCUUAACGGGAUACUCGCCAUUAAUACUGAACAGCUUGAGUGUACGUGAGGAAGUUGGAAUGCGUGGUGUAGCGGUGAAAUGCUUAGAUAUCACGCAGAACACCGAUUGCGAAGGCAGACUUCUGGCGUAAAACUGACGCUCAUGCACGAAAGUGUGGGGAUCAAACAGG